CGGAAAUCGGGGAGGAAGGUGGGGAUGACGUCAAGUCCUCAUGGCCUUUAUGUCUAGGGCUACACACGUGCUACAAUGGGCGGUACAAAGGGUUGCGAAGCCGCGAGGUUGAGCUAAUCCCAGAAAACCGUCCUCAGUUCGGAUUGCAGUCUGCAACUCGACUGCAUGAAGGUGGAAUCGCUAGUAAUCCCGGAUCAGCACGCCGGGGUGAAUACGUUCCCGGGCCUUGUACACACCGCCCGUCACAUCACGAAAGUCGGCUGUACCGGAAGCCGGUGGGCUAACCCUCACGGGAGGCAGCUGUCCAUGGUAUGGUCGGCGAUUGGGGUGAAGUCGUAACAAGGUA
rnacentral:rRNA from 1 species